UACGUAGGUGGCAAGCGUUGUUCGGAAUUAUUGGGCGUAAAGGGCGCGUAGGCGGUUUGCUAAGUCAGUUGUGAAAGCCCGGGGCUCAACCCCGGAGGGUCGGCUGAUACUGGUGGACUAGAGUACGGAAGAGGUAGCUGGAAUUCCCGGUGUAGCGGUGAAAUGCGUAGAUAUCUGGAGGAACACCGAUUGCGAAGGCAGCUCGCUGGGACGUUACUGACGCUGAGACGCGAAAGCGUGGGGAGCAAACAGG
rnacentral:rRNA from 1 species